UUGAGUUUUUGCGUUUUGGUCCCCGAAACUCUCUCUUCUCUCUCCUCUCCCCCGUGGUUUUCUUCGUUUUCUGGGCUCUCCUUUGUCCGGCCAUAUCUCCCUCCACAGACCUCCGAUCGACUUGAUUCCAAAAGAAUUUUCAUUCACCUUGAAGUUAAUUAAAACUUCCUAGAAGACAUCAAAGUGAAAAAAGAACCGUGGAAGGCGCUAGGAGGCCGAGAAGCGGCACAGCUCGAGCUGGAAUUCGCACGAGCUGCUCUUCAUUCACCGGCCGAUAUCUCUCUCAUCCGACCUCUAAUCUAGUUGAUUCCAAGGUGAUUUUUCUGGGCUUGAGCUAGAUUACAACUUUGUAGAAGAGAUCGAGGGGAAAUAACCAACGUGGUAGCCGCUACAAGUCGAAGAACACGGUGCAGUCGAGCUGGAAAUCACCUCCUUUCCCCACAGUCGUUCUUCCUCCUCCGGCCACCUUUUGCCUUGAUUCUUGAGGGGAUUCUGCACUUCUGAGGAUGUAGAUCAUUUUACCUAAGGUGCAUUGCAUCGAUUUCAUCUGUGGAGAUCGAAUUGGAACGAAUUCAAAACUAGGGUUCUUCGGGUUUCAAACCUUGCGAGGUACUUGACGGUUUGAGUUGACGAGCGUUUGGAAUAUUGUUAUAUUUGACUUUUUAGAAGACGCAGCUGGAUUAGAGCGGGUAAUCUCACAGGUCAGGAGAAUCAGGGCAGUGAUCGUGCGGUUUAGAGUAGUAGUAUUAGAUUUGCAGCAUUUGUUUUUGUGAGGAGAAUUAUACUCACUUUAGCUUUACAAUUUGAUUUGGUGAGAGUGUGCUGUAAUAAGUAGCUUGAGGAUUUGGUUUAUGUAAUAUCAAGAGGUGU